CCUGUACCAGGUGUUGUGUCUGUGACUGCUGUGUCACAUGUGAGUUGGUAGGUGACAGAGAAGAGAGAGGCUAUGUCUACUCUUGGUGUUCUGACAUAUAAACAUCGGAAUGGUUAGUAAUCUAAUAUU